rnacentral:miRNA from 2 species
GAACUGUAAGUCUGUGACGGGUAA